rnacentral:rRNA from 1 species
UACGGAGGAUCCGAGCGUUAUCCGGAUUUAUUGGGUUUAAAGGGUGCGCAGGCGGAAUAUUAAGUCGGCGGUGAAAGUUUGCAGCUUAACUGUAAAAUUGCCGUUGAUACUGGUAUUCUUGAGUGUAUAUGAAGUAGGCGGAAUUUGUAGUGUAGCGGUGAAAUGCAUAGAUAUUACAAGGAACUCCGAUUGCGAAGGCAGCUUACUAAACCAUAACUGACACUGAAGCACGAAAGCGUGGGUAUCAAACAGGAUUAGAUACCUCCGUAGU